rnacentral:rRNA from 1 species
AACGAACGCUGGCGGCAUGCCUAACACAUGCAAGUCGAACGAGCCCUUCGGGGUUAGUGGCGCACGGGUGCGUAACGCGUGGGAAUCUGCCCUUGGGUUCGGAAUAACAGUGAGAAAUUACUGCUAAUACCGGAUGAUGUCUUCGGACCAAAGAUUUAUCGCCCAAGGAUGAGCCCGCGUAGGAUUAGCUAGUUGGUGGGGUAAUGGCCUACCAAGGCGACGAUCCUUAGCUGGUCUGAGAGGAUGAUCAGCCACACUGGGACUGAGACACGGCCCAGACUCCUACGGGAGGCAGCAGUGGGGAAUAUUGGACAAUGGGCGAAAGCCUGAUCCAGCAAUGCCGUGUGAGUGAUGAAGGCCUUAGGGUUGUAAAGCUCUUUUACCCGGGAUGAUAAUGACAGUACCGGGAGAAUAAGCUCCGGCUAACUCCGUG